rnacentral:rRNA from 1 species
UGAGUGCGAGCUUCUACGGAAGCGAAGUUGGUGACGUCAAGCUUCCAAGAAAAGCCCUAUACCCGUUAAGGCAUGAUUACCUGUACCCGAAACCGACACAGGUGGGGUGGUAGAGAAUACCGAGGGGCGCGAGGUAACUCUCUCUAAGGAACUCGGCAAAAUGACCCCGUAACUUCGGGAGAAGGGGUGCCAGCGCGAGCUGGUCGCAGUGAAUAGGCCCAGGCGACUGUUUACCAAAAACACAGGUCUCCGCUAAGUCGCAAGACGAUGUAUGGGGGCUGACGCCUGCCCAGUGCCGGAAGGUUAAAGAAGUUGGUCAGCGCAAGCGAAGCUAACGACUGAAGCCCCGGUGAACGGCGGCCGUAACGAUAACGGUCCUAAGGUAGCGAAAUUCCUUGUCGGGUAAGUUCCGACCCGCACGAAAGGCGUAACGAUCUGGGCGCUGUCUCGGAGAGAGGCUCGGCGAAAUAGAAUUGUCUGUGAAGAUGCGGACUACGUGCACCCGGACAGAAAGACCCUAUGAAGCUUUACUGUAGCUUGGUAUUGUGCUCGGGCUCGCAAUGCGCAGGAUAGGUGGGAGGCUUUGAUCCAUUGCUUGUGGGUGAUGGUGAGCCACUGGUGAGAUACCACUCUUUGCGAGCUAGGGUUCUAACGGUUACCCGUCAUCCGGGAACCGGACAGUAUCUGGUGGGCAGUUUGACUGGGGCGGUCGCCUCCUAAAAGGUAACGGAGGCGCGCAAAGGUUUGCUCAGGCUGGUUGGAAAUCAGCCGACGAGUGUAAAAGCAGAAGCAAGCUUGACUGUGAGACCUACAAGUCGAACAGGGAGGAAACUCGGCUUUAGUGAUCCGACGGUUCUGAGUGGAAGGGCCGUCGCUCAACGGAUAAAAGUUACUCUAAGGAUAACAGGCUGAUCUCCCCCAAGAGUUCACAUCGACGGGGAGGUUUGGCACCUCGAUGUCGGCUCAUCGCAACCUGGGGCUGAAGUCGGUCCCAAGGGUUGGGCUGUUCGCCCAUUAAAGCGGUACGCGAGCUGGGUUCAGAACGUCGUGAGACAGUUCGGUCCAUAUCCGGUGCAUGCGCAGGAAUAUUGAGAGGAUUUCUCCCUAGUACGAGAGGACCGGGAGGAACGCACCUCUGGUGUACCAGUUAUCGUGCCAACGGUAAACGCUGGGUAGCCAUGUGCGGAGUGGAUAACCGCUGAAAGCAUCUAAGUGGGAAGCCCACCUCAAGAUGAGUAUUCCCAUGGCUUAAGCCA